CCUACGGGCGGGCAGCAGUGGGGAAUAUUGGACAAUGGGCGAAAGCCUGAUCCAGCCAUGCCGCGUGUGUGAAGAAGGCCUUCGGGUUGUAAAGCACUUUCAGUGGGGAAGAAAGCCUUGGGGCUAAUACCCUCGAGGAAGGACAUCACCCACAGAAGAAGCACCGGCUAACUCCGUGCCAGCAGCCGCGGUAAUACGGAGGGUGCGAGCGUUAAUCGGAAUUACUGGGCGUAAAGCGCGCGUAGGCGGUCUGAUAAGCCGGUUGUGAAAGCCCCGGGCUCAACCUGGGAACGGCAUCCGGAACUGUCAGGCUAGAGUGCCGGAGAGGAAGGUAGAAUUCCCGGUGUAGCGGUGAAAUGCGUAGAGAUCGGGAGGAAUACCAGUGGCGAAGGCGGCCUUCUGGACUGACACUGACGCUGAGGUGCGAAAGCGUGGGUAGCAAACAGGAUUAGAUACCCGAGUAGUC
rnacentral:rRNA from 1 species